AUAUUAUUUUUUCCAAUAACUCAGCCACUCUUGUAUCCAUCAUCACUUCUUUAUUUUCCCUAACCCUCUCCCUGGAACUUGUCUUCGCCGCCGCAUCACUGUUUUCUUACCCUCACACUCACUGUCGUGGCCUCACCUUCACUCUCGUCUCUCAGCCUCCAUUCUCUUUCUUCUUCAUCUUCGUUCUCGCCCUUCUCUCAGUUUCUCCCCCAAAUCGGAUGAACCCUAAUCAGCUUCAAUCGUUUCUCAUUUCUUAAUUUCUCUUUCAAAUCGCAGGAACCCUAACCUAUAUCUGGAAAAUCCUAAGCGCAAUUUCAGAUAUGGUGUUUUAGUGAGAUUGGAUUGGAUUGCUUUGCUUUGCAUACACGUAUUUUCAUAAAUCUUCACUUUGCAUCUGGUAGGCCCUCGGAGCAGCCCAAUAUUGAUGAAAGAAGUAUGAGGCUAAGAAGGCAGGCAAGUAAUGUGCAUGUAAAUCACUCACUUAUGAAUGAAGGUUCCUAUUCCUGUUCUAGUUUUGUGUUGCAAAGUUGUAACAUAUUCAUGAAAAUGACCAAUUUUUUUGGACUUAGAUUACCACUUAAGAUGUCACGUUGUUAUUGUUCUUGUUCUUUAAUAAACAAUUGCAGUACAAUGAAUAAAGCUCCUCGUCGCAUUUUAUUGAGCUUUGGAGCAUCUUCAUUCUUCUCUCACUUUAUUCCUAUGUCUCUUUCUAUUUCUGGUGUCAAAUCUUUCAUUGCAUCUGCCAGAAUAACCGUUGGUCCUUUUGUCGAUCAGAUACUCAACAAUGUUGAAUGGCCAUGACAGUUCCCCUUUGAAGAGCAGGAUUUCCAGCGCUAUGAUGAGUCCUCACUGACGAUGUCGUACAAGACUUAAAUGUGAACCCUACACUCCCAUUUGAAGAUAAUUCGUUCAACAUCAUCACUAAUGUGGUUAGUGUUGAUUACCUAACAAAGCCUCUUAAUGUUUUCAAAGAGAUGAGAAGGAUACUCAAGCCAGGUGGAUUGGCCAUAAUGAGAACUUUUCUGGAACCUUCUAACAAUUCAGUGGUAGUUGCUGGUUAAUUAUCCUUUUUGCAAAUUGCUCGGUAACAUCGGUUUGGAUUGUUGUGGUGGUGAACAAUUGAUAAUUGUUUUUUGUUAAUUGGUGAAAGCUAAAGUUUUGGAAUUUGCGGUGGCUAACUAAGUUAUUAUCCUUUUUUGACAACUGGGAAAGUCUAGGCCCGAGAGUUUUUGACAGAAGGGAGGAAGAGGAAUUGGUGGUAGAGGUCAGAUACCAACAGGAAGAGGUCAGGCUCGAGAGUUUGCUUUGACUCAUCAUGAUGCUCAGCCAUCCAAUGCAGUAGUUACAUGUAUACUUUCUAUUUGUUCCAAAGAUGGUCAUGUUUUGUUUUAUCUUGGAGCUACACAUUCUUUUUGCAUCCUCGAGGUUUGCUACUCGACUUUGUAAAUGUUCAUCUUUUCUAGAAGAAGCUUUAAUUGUGGCUACACCUGGUGGAGAAAAUUUGCUUGCUAAGUCAAUGUGUCGCUUUUGUGAUAUAGCUAUUGAAGGCAAGGUGUAGCCAGUAGAUUUAGAAGUUACUGACUUGGUAGAUUUUGAUGUGAUUUUGAGUAUAGAUUGGUUUGCUUUGCAUCAGGUCACUUUGGAUUGUCAUAACAAAAUGGUGAAAUUUGAGAUACUGGGACAAUCUGUCUUCUCGUUUCAAGGAGAAAGUUGUUGGGUACCACACAACCAAAUCCCAGCCUUAAGAGCUAGCAGGUUAAUGAGAAGAGUUUGUCAAGAGUACUUAGCCUUGGUAAGGGGUACACAAGUGGAUAAGGAGAAAUUGGAAAAAAUUCAAAUAGCAUGUGAAUUUCCAGAUGUUUUUCUUGAAGAACUUCUUGUGUUGCCAUCUGAUGGGGAGAUUGAGUUAUGUAUAGACUUGGUUUCUAACACUCAUCCCAUAUCCAUACCUCCUUAUCGUGUAGCCCCAACACAACUUAAGGUGUUAAGGGAGCAACUUUAAGAUAUUCUUAAUAAGGGUUUUAUUCGCCCAAGUUCGUCUCCUUGGGGAGCACAAGUCUUAUUUGUAAAGAAGAAAGAUGGAUCUAUGCAGUUAUGUGUAGACUAUUAUAGACAGUUGAAUAAAGUAAAUAUAAAGAAUAAAUACAUGUUACCCCGCAUUGAUGAGUUGUUUGUUCAACUUCAAGGAGCCCAAUGCUUUUCUAAAAUUGUUGUGGUUGGGGUAUCACCGGUUGAAUAUUAAGAGAGAGGAUAUAAUGAAGACAGCUUUGCGCACGCGUUAUAUAUAUUAUGAAUUUUUGGUUGUCUUUUUGUCUUACUAAUGCCCUAACAACUUUUAUGGAUUUGAUGAAUCACAUUUUAAAACCAUUCUUGGAUCAAACCGUGAUUGUGUUCAUUGAUGAUAUCCUAGUUUAUUCCAAAAGUAAAGAAGAACACGAGCGACAAUUGAGGUUUGUUUUGCAAACCUUAAGAGAUAAACAAUUAUAUGUCAAAUUCCCUAAAUGUCAGUUUUGGCUUGAUAGUGUGACAGUUUUAGAUCAUGUUGUGUCUAAGAAUGAAAUAAGUGUUGAUCCAAGUAAGGUGGAAGCAGUGCAGAAUUGGCCAAGACCUACCAUAGUAAAGGAGAUUCAGAGUUUUCUUGGGUUAGCUGGCUUUUAUCGACGUUUUUUGAAUGAUUUUUCAAAAGUCGCAUAUUCGUUGACUAGGUUGACCUAGAUGAAAGUUGAGUUUCGGUGGACCGAUGCAUGUGAGGAAAGCUUUCAUAAAUUAAAAGAGUAUUUGACGUCAACACCUAUUUUGGCAUUACCCCUAGGUGGUGAACGUUAGGCAUUAUAUUUUUAUGCUUCUAGAGUUGGUCUCGGUUGUGUACUUAUGCAUUAAGGUAAGUUUAUUGCAUAUUGAUCUAGACAACUCAAGAGGCACGAGGUAAACUAUCCGACACAUGAUUUGGAAUAAAGAUUUGAAGACAUUAUCCAUAUGGUGAAACUUGUGAGAUUUAUACCGACCAUUAAAGUCUUAAGUAUACCUUUCAACAACGAGAUUUAAAUUUACGAGAAAGAAGAUGGAUGAAGCUCUUGAAAGAUUAUGAUUGCACAAUCUUUUACCACUCCGGGAAGGAAAAUGUUGUUGAAGAUGCUUUGAGUAGGAAAUCUAUGGGUAGUCUCUCAUAUAGCAGAAAUAAAGAGGCCAUUGUUGAAAGUGGAAUUCAAUAUGAACUUGAUUAUUUGAGGUUACUUUUAGUCCAUGUACAAAUUCGUCCAACCAUAGUUGAUGAUAUGAAGCAAGCUCAAAGUCAAGACUCAUACUUGGUGAAUAUGGUAAAUAAUGUUCAGAUUGGUAAAAUUUCGUAUUUUUUAGUUGAUUCUGAUGGUCUAUUGAGGUUGAAGUUUCGAUUGUGUGUUCCAAAUAUUGGGGGCUUAAGGAGGAAAAUUUUAGAGGAAGCUCAUCAUUCUUCGUAUACUAUUCACCUAGGUUGUAACAAGAUGUAUCAAGAUUUGGGAGAAUUGUAUUGGUGGGAAGGGAUGAAUAGAGACAUAGCAUAUUUUGUCUAUAAGUGCUUAGUGAGUCAACAAGUAAAGGUUGAACAUCAAAAGCCUGCAUGAUUACUUCAACCUGUUGAAAUACCUGAAUGGAAGUGGGAACACAUCACUAUGGAUUUUGUCACAGGAUUACCACGAACCCAAAAAGGUUAUGACUCCAUGUUAGUGAUUAGAAAUCAGUUGACCAAAUCUACACGAUUCUUGCAUGUGAAGACUACUUAUAAUGCAUUCCAAUAUGCUAAACUUUAUUUAGAUGAAAUUGUCUCUUUGCAUUGUUUACUAGUGUUUAUUAUUUCUGACCGUGGGACUCAAUUAACUGCUCAAUUUUGGGAGUCGCUCCGAUCUUCAUUAGGAACUCGUUUGAGCUUCCUUGAUAUCAUCAAUUAUGGUUGGACGAAUUUGUACGUGCGUUAAAAAUAACCUCGAAUGACCAAGUUCAAAUUGAAUUCCACUUUCAACAACUUCUUGAAAUUCGUUAACUAUUGGUCUCUUUACUCCUGCUAUAUGAGCGAGACUGUCCAUGGAUUUCCUACUGAAAGUAACUGCAACAACAUUUGCCUUCCCUAAUUGGUAUAACAUUGUGCAAUCAUAAUCUUUCAAAAGUUCCAUCCACCUUCUUUGUCUUAAAUUUAAAUCUCGUUGUUGAAAGAUAUACUUAAGAAUUUUAUGAUUGGUAUAAAAUCUCGCAAGUUUUACCAUAUAGAUAGUGUCUCUAAAUCUUAAGAGCAAAAAUCACUGCAGCCAUUUCCAAAUCAUGUGUGGGAUAGUUCACAUCAUGCCUCUUGAGUUGUCUAGAUGCAUAUGCAAUAACCUAACCUUCUUGCAUAUUACACAACCGAGACCAACUCUAGAAGCAUCACAAUAAACUGCAUAACUUUCACCACUUAGAGGUAAUACCAAAAUAGGUGUUGACGUCAAGUACUCCUUGAAUUUUUGAAAGCUUUCCUCACAUGCGUUAGUCCAACGAAACUCAACUUUCUUCUGGGUCAACCUAGUCAACGAAGAUGCAAUCUUUGAGAAAUCCUUCACUAAACGUCGAUAAUAACCAGCUAAACCAAGAAAACUCUGAAUCUCCUUUACUGUGGUAGGUUUGGGCCAAUUCUGCACUGCUUCCACCUUACUUGGAUCAACACUUAUUCCAUUCUUAAACACAACAUGACCUAAAAAUGCCACACUAUCUAGCCAAAACUGAUCUUUAGAGAAUUUGGCAUAUAAUUAUUGAUCUCUUAUGGUUUGCAAAACCAACCUCAAUUAUCGCUCGUGUUCUUCUUUACUCUAGGAAUAAACAAGGAUAUCAUCAAUGAACACAAUCACGAAUUGAUCCAAGAAUGGUUUAAAAACGCGAUUCAUCAAAUCCAUGAAUUCUGCUGGGGCAUUAGUAAGCCUAAAGAACAUAACCAGAAAUUAAUAAUUUCCAAAACGCGUGCGAAAACUGUCUUCGUUAUAUCAUCCCUCUUAAUCUUCAACUGGUGAUACCCCAACAGCAAAUCAUUCCUAGAAAAACAUUGAGCUCCUUGAAGUUGGUCAAACAACUCAUCAAUGUUUGGCAAAUGGUAUUUAUUCUUUACAGAUACUUUAUUCAACUGCCUAUAAUCUACACACAACCUCAUGGAUCUAUCUUUCUUCUUUACAAAUAAUAUUGGUGCUUCCAAAGGAGAAGAACUUGGGCGAAUAAAAUCCUUAUCAAGAAGAUCUUGAAGUUGCUUCCUUAACUCCUUAACUUCUGCUGGGGCCAUACUAUUAGGAGGUAUAGAUAUGGGAUGAGUGUUAGGAACCAAGUCUAUAGAGAACUCAAUCUCCCAAUUAGGUGGCAACCCAAUAAAUUCUUCAGGAAAAAUAUCUGAAAGGUGGAAGAAGUUGAAACUUUUGGAAAUCAAUUUUCGUCGCUACCGUUUAGUGUUUUGUAAAGACCUCUCUAAAAUGUUUUCGUGUGCGUCAAAUCGUUCUUCUUUAGACUAAGUAUUUGAUUUUGAUUUCGAAUAUUCUCUACUUUAUUGUUUUAUGCUCGUUGUUCGGUCUUCUUUCUUGUUUUUUUGUUUGAGUACUCUUGUAAUCAUUUUGCUUUCUUUAUGCUGUUACUUCUAAAUGCUUGAGAUAUGCACUAGAGUUUCAUUUGAAUGGAUAUGAAUCAUUUUGUUAUAUUAAUUUUGAUAA